GUGACUUGACAAGGAGGCAGUGGGGUGGUUCGUUCUGUGAUAGCCAGUGCAGUUGCUGCAGCUCUUCCUGGCUGGGACUUUGCACUCAGUGUAAUUACCCACAGACUGACCAGCUACAGCAAACACGGACCAGCCCCAGCGCUCCCGACCUUCCAUCAAAACCUGCAGCUGCGAACAGCUCUUGGCUCUCGGCGCCUACGGGCCUGGUUCUCGGCCGCACCAUGCGGCGCUUUCCAUGGGGGCUGUGGGCCAUGCUCUCGAUCUCUGCGAUCCAGGCCGCCCUGGCCAGUGCCCAAGGUGCUGAGAGAGGAGGGGGCUCCAGUGAAGAGUAUGUGACAAACCCUGCACCACCUUUGGUCUACUUCGGUGCUGUACUUGUCAUAGCCGUGGCAGUGGCGAUCUAUACUACUCUGUCCAAGGACAGAGAACAGUGUGAAAAAGAGCAGCGCAAGUGACCUCCAUAAUUUUAACCAUGAGGUAUGUACCCGUUGAACAAUCAGAGGAGUUGCUUCAUUCCUAUGGACCCCGAAUCAGAAUUCAGCAUAUAUACAUUUUAUACUAAUACAUUUCAUUACAGUACUAAUUAAAUGUUACUUGUUAACCUUGUGGAAGCAGGGAAAGAAAGAGAGGGUUUAAGUGCAGCCAUUUAAGUGUCAGAGACAGAACAACUGUUCUGUCAAGUCUUAGCCUAAUAUCGCGAGACCUGUAGAAGCCGGGCUCACGUCAGAAGCGAGUGGAAAACAGCAGAAUAGUCAGUGUGACCCAGCCUUGAGAUAACGAUGUUUUUGAGAAGAGAAAGUGAGAAAAUACUGGAAUAAAUAGCAAAUAGUCUAAAUAAAAUACAGAUGUUUUUAAUUAAUGCACGUCACAAAGAGGUAUAAAUGCUUGUGUGAUUUUGCUUGUACUUUGGAGAAACUGAGGCAGAGAUGCUCUCUGCCAGCUGUAUUCUUCCCCUGCAAUUGCUUGAAUAAAGCUGUCUCUGAUUUUGUUGCUUCCAA